rnacentral:rRNA from 1 species
CCGGAGUUGAGAGACUGAUCGGCCACAUUGGGACUGAGACACGGCCCAAACUCCUACGGGAGGCAGCAGUAGGGAAUCUUCCACAAUGGACGCAAGUCUGAUGGAGCAACGCCGCGUGAGUGAAGAAGGUUUUCGGAUCGUAAAGCUCUGUUGUUGGUGAAGAAGGAUAGAGGUAGUAACUGGCCUUUAUUUGACGGUAAUCAACCAGAAAGUCACGGCUAACUACGUGCCAGCAGCCGCGGUAAUACGUAGGUGGCAAGCGUUGUCCGGAAUUAUUGGGCGUAAAGCGCGCGCAGGCGGUCCCUUAAGUCUGAUGUGAAAGCCCACGGCUCAACCGUGGAGGGUCAUUGGAAACUGGGGGACUUGAGUGCAGAAGAGGAAAGUGGAAUUCCACGUGUAGCGGUGAAAUGCGUAGAGAUGUGGAGGAACACCAGUGGCGAAGGCGACUUUCUGGUCUGUAACUGACGCUGAGGCGCGAAAGCGUGGGGAGCAAACAGGAUUAGAUACCCUGGUAGUCCACGCCGUAAACGAUGAGUGCU